GAGGUAUAAAAAAGAAGGAGAUAUAACCAACUUAAUUGGAUUUGCUAAGCUAAGACCUAAUGACCUUUCUCCAACGCUGAUUGGCUUACCACUAAAAGGUUCAAAAAGCCCGCUAUCUCGUUACCGCAGCGGGACGUCCGCUUUCAUCCAUAUCAUCGCAGCCGCUUGUUUCGUAAAUUUCUAGUCUUAUUGCAAGGCCGCUUAGCAACGCAGUCGCCCUGAACAUGUAUUUUUAACUAUUUUUAGUGUAUUACAGCCUCUAGAGGGCUUCUAGAGUUCAAAGGUUUGUUUCAAUCGGAAGAUAUUUUAUUUUGGAAGCGAUCGUGAAAACUUCGAAGAAAAUCGAGCCAUUUUUAGUCAAUUAACCCAAAGUUCAGGCAGACCUAAAAAUCAGGAUCCACUGGAAGAGUACUUCAGUAAGCAACGUGCAUGCGGAGGAAGGAAUGAAAACCCUAUGGUGUAGCAGUUCCAGCAAAAUGCUUUAACUAUACAAGUCGCGGGU